CAGGAAAAUCAGGAACAAAUGAAAAUAAAUACAUUAAAUCUAAUCGUUACAGAAAAAGAAAUGAAUAUAGAAAUGUACAUUUGAAACAUAGAAAUAGUAAAAAUAUGAUAAAAUGAAAUAAAAAUAAUCUACGUUCUUUAUAGGAAAGCUGCAGUUAUAAACUGAUUAAAAAAGAAAAGUAUUUCUGCACAUUUUAAGGCAAGUCUUCCGUCAACUUGUUUAAUUCUGGUGCUUGCAAUACUGACCAACGGGAUGACCUGAGGUGUCAAGAUGGUUGACAUCACCAGCAAUUGAAAUGUUUUUAGGUCAAAGACUGUUCAGUUAUUUAUAGAAAAAAAAAAAGAUUUUAAAAUCAUUACAUUUAAAAACAGGGAGGCACUGCUGUGAUAUAAUCAAUGUAGCUGGUUUGGGUCAAUACUCUGGCAGCAACAUUUUGGAUGAGCAGCAGCUUCAUGAUUUUUAACAUCACCAAUACAAUGAUCUAACCUUUUUUCUUUUUUAUAUAUAAAAAAAAGCAUCUGUUUGUGUCCUGUUUAAACCUUUUAUUCUGGCAAUGUUUUUUCUAAGAUGUUUACACAGUGAUUAAUAAACAGACUAUGUGAAUGUUAAAAUUUAGAUGUCAUAAUGCCACUGAAGUUUCAGGUAUGAGUCCUGAUUUCUAAUCUUGUAUUUUUGAUACAACAAAAAAAGACUUCAGUAUUUUACGGAUUAAGCUGAAAGAAACUCUGACCCGUCCACUCAUCAACAUUCUAACUGGUCAGUAGAAAUAUACAGUUGUCAUCCAUAGAUCUGUUAAGAUAUUGGAAUAUGGCAUAAUUUGAACUAAAGCACAGUAUUAAAGUAUCCAAUAAAAUUGGUACGAGAAUGAAACUGAGGAACCUUCAUGUGAUAUUUUGUUAUUCAGAUUUAUAAUAGCCAAAUAAUACAAAAUAGUUCUGUUGUGCCAACUAAGCACAGAACCAAUCUUAAACAUUUACCCUGUCAGGAUGUAAUGAUCAAGUUUCACCAACUAAGAUCCAGUAAUAACAAGAAGUUAGAGUAGAAUAAAUCACAUUUAUUCCACCAGUUUAAAGUUCAUGAAGCACAAAGAAGUCUUUGUAGUCAGAAGUCACCAGCAAAGUAUUCUGGGAAAAAACCGAUGAAAACCGAGCACAAGGCACACAUGGCAUAAUGUCAACAUUGUGGUCUAAGAGUGCAGGUCAUGGACCAUAGUUGAAGGGGGUCUUUAUUACAUAUUUCCAAACAAAUUUUAGUAUAAAGGACUAAAUAUAAUACAUCUUAAUUGCGGUAACUCUAGUUUAGACCCUUAUUAAUGAUGGUUGAAGACAUACAAUCAUCUCCAAACUAUUGCAGUAAUAGAAUCAUCUUAUCGGACCAGCUUUGGAUAAAACAUUUCAAAGAUACUUAUCCGGUUCCAUGCGACACGAAAAAGAUAAAAUACUGCAGUUGCUCCUUCACUGAAUACAACAACCAUUGGGAAGUAGAAAUACAUCUUUAUUAACUUAAGUCAUUUCUGAGCCGUGGAGCUUUCCUUACAAUGCCAAUGAAAACUAAUGAAAACUAAUGACAGAGCAUACACUUUAAUUUUCAAUAGGUACAUCCUAAUUCAUACAAGAUGGCAAUAUUUGAGAAAAAACAACCCAACCAAAGUGAAAGAAUGAAACCAUCAGGGAGCCUUUUGUUUGAGAUUACAAAUAAACCUUCCAGCACAACAACAUCACAGUUUUCUUUAUGCUAAAAUGUUGCUUUCCACACAUGCAUUGCUCCCAUUCUGUGACAUAGCUGCAAUUCAAAUUAACUGCACUAGUGAUCUUUCUCAAAGUACUAUAUAUUUAGAUCAUCGAAGAUGGAGUAAUUCUCCCCUCAACUUCCAUACACAAGAGUGGACCCUAUAAAUGUAUUCACAGACCUCUCACUCUAUCCCCCACCAUGCUGCAAACAGCAGGGCCCAGUCCAGUGGCAGUUUAAGAAAGAGUGGGAGGAAUGCAAGUGAAGAUGCAAGAACCAUCAGCUGAAUCUUCAUGCCAGCCCCUCCAUGGCCCAUGUCACAGCUGGGGAAAGUGGGAGUAGGAUGCUAUCACUGAGGCAGCUGCAGCAACGUGCCCU